rnacentral:tRNA from 1 species
GGAUCGGCUGCUGGUGCCAGCCGCUCGACUGUCUCGAGCAAUGUCGUGGGUUCGAAUCCCAUCGGCUCCU